GUUCUGUGGAUACUCUUAAAAGAAACAUGAAGUUGGCCAAAGCUUGGAUAUAGCUGGAGAAUGCUUUGGGGUGGGAGGGAAGGGGUUUUCUUGUUUCUGGAGUUCUCGGCAACAAAAAAGGGACCUGAGACAUGCUAUGGCACCAAAAGCACCUACCUUUUUCCAGUCUGUGUCCCACUAAGCAUGUAUCUACACUAUCUGUUGACACAUGUUCAUGUUACUCCUUGAUCAAGCUUUAUAUCUUGUUUGUUGUGGUUUAUAUCUUCCCUUUGCAGUGUUUAUACCCACCUGGAAAGUUCAUGGGCAGAACCAGAGUUGGCUCAAGCUUAUCUCUUGUGUCUGUCCCCCCGGAACCUCAGUGCAAGCCACUUUCUGUCAUCUCCUGACCCAGCUCUCAUCUUCCCCAGCCCUUCUGUGGAAGCUGGGUCUGACAUCUCCGCUAUGGAAAUGCUGCCAGAAUGGGAAUUUUUCUCUGGAGAACUCGAGCCUGUGGCUGAGCAGCCGCAUGGCAGUGGCAGCUCCCUUGGGAUUCACUUUGCCAUAAUAAUAAGCAAUUACAAAGGAUUCGUAAUUGUCCUACAGUUGCACUGGCUUCUUGCAUCUCUUUAGAUGAUUACUUUAUGGCGCAGUGUUCCAGUUGGGCUGUCCUCCUUUCAUCUGUCAAGCUUCCAGAACAACUUAAAUAGGCAUAAUGGGAUGGGUUUGCCCCAUUUUCUAUCUGUGCUGAAGCCUGUGGAUGUUAGAAGAGAAUAGUCUUCUCUAAUUGUUUUCAUAUCUAAUUAAGGCAUUUAAGUACCAAACCCUGUCCAUUACACUUACUGGCUUGCAGAUCUGGUUGCAAAGAGCAAACCAUCAAUAUUGUGUAAAGAGCAGACAGACGAGGGAGUUGCUGGAGUACAGGCUUUAGAAAUACAAAUUAGCACUUUCCUCUUCAGCUUUUGUCUUGGUUUGAAAGGAAAACACACAAUCCUUGGCUGUGCCUGCCUUUCCCUUGUAGAAAACUCUGCUUGAGCUCCGAUCACUUGGCACUGUUCUGAUGUCGCAUUAAAUAUUAAGAGCCUGUCCUGGGGGAGAUGCUGCCUUCUGCUCCCCAUCUGCAUCUCUGCUGUGAAGAGCUGCUCACUGACUUGGAGAGCUGAACAAGGAGAAGAGGGGAUGCAUGUGGCAUCUCAGUUGGUCAGAUCCUUGCUGCUGUAAAAGCUAUUGGCAUCCCUUAAUCUAGUUGCAGGAGUCCAAAAGGUGAACAAAAUGGUGAAGAGUUGGAAAAACCAGCUUUCAGUUAAAUACUUUCCCUCUUGACCUGAGCUAUGCUGGAGUUCUGCUCUUAGCAUGAAGAAAAAAAGAGCUCUCUAGCAGUGAAGUAUUUGUUAUGUGACCAGGGUUUUGCAGAAAAUCAGCAUAUCAAAUUCAGCAGUAUCAGUUUCGGUGCUUGGGAGGCUGGGUGAAGGGCUGAGAUCAGUUCUUGCUCUGCUAUCAGCAACCACGGGUGUCUCAGCACGCUCUUUCCAGGCAUCAAAUUUAGAUAAGUUUCACAUGAUGGGAUUAGAUGGUUUCUGCAAGUGUCCGUAAGUGUGAUAGCAAAGUAAUAAGCCAUACUGGUCUCUGCUGGAUAUGGCUUGAGCAGGAGGGGCAUGAGUGAUGGCAUCUCCAGUUUUGAAGGCGAUCUCUUUGUUAGAAGAAGCUGAUUGACAUCUGAUUGACGUGACUGAGCUUGUGCAGUGUAUCCUGCUCUCAGUGAACUGCUUACUUCAGGAGCUGUGUUAGCCACCUUUCUAUUAUGUAAAUCAUCAUGUAUUUAUGAACUUCUCAAAUCUGGGACCAGCUCUACUGAUUUCAGACUUCCAGCAUGAAUAGGCUCUUAAGUAGUGAUUCACAUCUUCAUUAUGGAGCUCCCUUUGCCCACCUAGGUCUUAGCAUCUACCUCUCAUUUCCAACCCAUCUGAUGCCAAAGUGUAAUUAGGACCCUGGGUUUAAGUGCCCAUGUUUAGAAGCUGUGGCCACCAGGAUGUGCAUGGGAUAUGCUCAUGCCCAGCCAGGUUUAAGUGGAUCUAUUCCCAUGGGACAAAGGGUGAUUCAGCUGCAAAGUGGGCAGCUUAUCGUGCUGUUGACCCUUUGAGGAUUUAGCCUUUCAUGUUUGGCAGAGCUGCUCUGAUUUAGUAAGGAAGGUGGCUUAGUGCCCUGUUAUUUUCAGAAGUGUUUAGCCCCUCUGUUCUCCCUGGCCUUUAUUGAUGUGGAGUUGUACCUUGUUCCUACACAGUUGUUGUCACCCAAUAAAGCAGGAAUUCUCCUAUUGAAGCGCAGCAGCUCAGCUGCUAAAAAAACACCUUCUCCAAAGUACAGGCUCUUGAAUAUUAGGGCGAAACAAGCCCGCUUCCCCUUGGUCCAACCUGAAAGUGGCUGUAUCUUCCAUGCUCCCUCAUUUUCUCCUCCUGCAUUCCUUGGAAGGAGUGUAAAUGCAGGGUAAGCUCCGGAAUGUGAUUUAAGGAGAAAGCAGAAGCACACCCAGCUCAUCUCAAAUCCCACAUCCCCUUUCCAUGCAGAAGAGCAGCGGUGGGUUGAUUUUCCAGCAUGUCUCAUGGCACGUAACUGGUUAAAUUUGUCUGUAUUUGGUGACCAGGAGGUUUGUGUCACAGACUGCUGGGGACUAUUUUAAGUGAGGGAAAGCACAUGUUCCUGUUGAGGGAGAUAUGGCCUAUAGAUAUUGCACUUGCUAAAUCUGCUCUUAAAGCGCAUGCCUCUAUCUAGUGUUGAUUUUACAGUGAAUGAUUUCUUUUGAUAAGAGUUGCUUGGGGCAGGGGGGGAGGGAGAGGGAAUUCCUUUAUUGUAUAAGGAAACUCUGUAUUUAAAAACAAAAUAAAAAGGAAUAUACUG
ensembl:lncRNA